GCCGGAAUAGCACAAUGGCGAGUGCAGGGGACUGUGGAUCCCCCUGUCCGGGUUCGAGUCCCGGUUCUGGCC
rnacentral:tRNA from 1 species